CAUUCUCAUUCUCACCCGCAGCGCCAUUCCUUUACUUUUCAUUCAAAUUUCUGUCUUGUUUCUUAUUUAUGCUUUUAGGAAGUUAAGAAGGAUGAAUCUUCUGUGUGGCACCUAUUACCAGCAAUCUAGGGUUGCGAGUCUUCUUCAGUCAACAGGCACAUACAUUUUUCUAUUUCAGAAGCACAGCUAGAAAGAUUCUUAUGCAUCAGCAAGUGUGAUGGUUAAUACUGAGUGUCAACUUGAUUGGAUUGAAGGAUGCAAAGCAUUGUUUCUGGGUGUGUUUGUGAGGGUGUUGCCAAAGGAGAUUAACAUUUGAGUCAGUGGAUUUGGAGAGACAGACCCACCCUCAGUCUGGGUUGGCAUAAUCUAAUCAGCUGCCAGCAUGGCUAGAAAAAAUUGCAGGAAGACGAAGGUGGAAUGAGCAGACUCGCUGAAUUUUCUGGUCUUCAUCUGUCUUCUAUACUGGAUGCCUCCUGUGCUCGAACGCUGGACUCCAAGUUCUUCAGAUUUUGGACUUUUGGACUUACACCAGUGGUUUGUCUUGGGUCUUUGGCCACAGACAGAAAGCGGCACUGCCUGUUUCCCUACAUUUGAGGUUUUGGGACUCAGACUGGCUUACUUGCUCCUCAGCUCACAGACAACCUAUUGUGGGACUUCACCUUAUGAUCAUAGAGCUGCUCACAGGGAUGUGAUAAGAGAGGAAGAGAAGCUGGGGACACCCCUCGGUAAGCUGUAAAUGGAGGGCAAGCAUCAAAGUGGGCCACUACAGAGCGUCUCUGAUGGGAGUUACAAACUGUUACCUGGGGGAACCCAGUCUUGGUACACACGACUGACCACAUGACUGACUAUUAAGAGCUACUAAAUUGAUGGAUAUUUGUGGAGUACAUAUUGCCAUGUUAAAUGGAAAUGGAAAUAUGAAGACUAUGUCAUAGCCUGUGACCUCAACGCUUACGACACUGGAAGGAUACGGUACAAAUAACUUUUUAAUACUUUUCUUUUGUUUUUAUCUUUCUCUUUCUGUCUUUCUCUCAUUCUGUCUUCUUUUCAUCACUUAUUUAUGUAUUUUGCUGAUGGUGACUACAUUCAGAAGUUAGGAAAGUUGUCAAAUCUUUAGAAAAACAACCUAAUUUGAGAAGCCUCAAAAUUAUAGAAUAUGUACAUCGUUUUUCAUAUAUGUCAUAGGUUAAUAUCAUAAACUUGUACUUAUAUAUAUAGUUGGGGAAGGGAAAGGGGAACAUCUUAUUAGUCAGGGGUCCCCAGAGAAACAGAACCAAGAGGAUAUACAUUAAGAGAGAUAUACAUGAGAACAGACUUAUGAGGGGAACUGGCUGUCUCAAUUAUAGAGGCUGAGGAGGCCCACAACAGGUCAUUUGCAAGUUGGAGAACUAGUUGGUAGCAUGGCUCAGUCCAAAGGCCUCAGAACCAAGGAAGAUGAUGGUGUAACUCUGAGGGUGCACGCCUGAGAGUGGGAGAUGUUGCUGCAAGUCCCAGAGUCCAAAACAAGGAGAACCUGAAAUAUUGAUGUACAAGGGCGGAAAAAGUGGCUUGGCUCCAGAAGAGAUGAGCAAAAAUUGACCCUUUCUCUGCUUUUUAGUUUCAACUGGGCCCCCAACUAAUUGGCUGGUGCCCACCUACAUUGAGGGUGGAUCUCCUCAUCAUUCUACUGACUCAAAUGUCAAUCUUCAUUGGAACCACCCUUACAUAAAUAGCCGGGGAAGCUUAAUCAUUCCAAUCAAAUGUCAAACCAUGAAGGUUUCCCUUUUUUAUAAAAGAAAAAUGGAUUCAAUGCCUACUGAAGCAUUAAGGAUAAUUAAUGCACAUGACCGAGAAUAAAUAAUGCUUCUCCAGGUAUCUGGGUAUCUCUUAAUUCAGUCUAGUUGGCAACCAAAAUCAGCCAUUACAAACAUUAAUUGAGUUCCUACUCUAUCCUAGGCUCUAUGAAAGGCACUUAAAUAUUUUCUUAUGCAUUCCUCAUAACAAUUAAAAUGUUUUCCAAUUGAUAAACUGAAGCUCAGUAAAUUUAAGUAACUGCUCAAAUAUUGUGAAGCUAGUAAUUGCGACAUAAACUACAAUCAUUUUUUAUUCUUUAAAAUGUAAAAAUAUAUGCAGAAGGAAAUAGCAAUGGAUUCAAAAAAACAAUCACUAUGGAAAAUCAAGUACACACAAAAGGCUGAAAUAGAAAGAAUAAAAGGCAAAAAGUCUUCAAGACAUACAUAAAACAAAUAAAAUGGCCAAAGUAACUGUUUCCUUAUUAGUACUUUUAAAUUUUAAUGGAUUAAUGCCUCCAAUCAAAAGGCAGAGAUUGGCAGAAUGAACUAAAAAAUAAAAUGAUCUAACAAUAUGCUGUCUAAAGGAGGGUCAUUUUAGAUACAAAUAAGUUGACAGUAUAAGAGCAGAAAAAGAUAUUUCACGCAGAUAGUAACAAUAAAAAGAGCUGAAUACUGACAAUAAAAAGAGCUUUAUACUAAUAUCAGAGAAGAUAUAGCUUAAGUCAAAAGGCUUACAUGUGACAAAAGGAGAUAUAUGCUGAUUAGUCAAUUUUUCAAGAUGAUAAAACAAUUGCAAGCAUAUAUACACUAAGCAACAGAGCCCCAAAGUAUGUUAAGCAAAGUAUGUUUAUUGACAGAAUAAAAAAAAUUCUACAGUAAUAUUUGAAGAUAUCAAUACCCCAAUUUCAAUAAUGGAUAGAACAUAUAGACAAAAAUAUCACCAAGAAAAUAGAGGACUUGAACAAUAUAAUAAGCCAACUAAACCUGACUCUUCACUGCCCCAACCACGUAUUUGUAUGGUAUGUGUUACAUACGCACACGUACAUACCACAUGUAUACCAUAUAUAUACCACAUAUUUAUAUGAUAUGUAUUUAUACGUGGGAAGGGCAGUGAAGAGUCAGAUAGAAAUAUGUGGGAAGGGCAGUGAAUAGUGUUGAGUACAUAGCACUCUAUCUACCCAAAGCUUGUUCAACUCACAGUCCACAGGCUGCAUGAGGCCCAGUAUGGCUUUGACUGUGAACCAACACAAACUUGUAAACUUUCUUGCAACAUUUUGAGAUUUCUUGCAAUUUUUUUUUCUUUAGCUUAUCAGUUAUCGUUGGUGGUAGUGUAUGUUAUGUACGGCCCAAGACAAUUCUUAUUCUUCUUCCAAUGUGGCAUAAGGAAGCCAAAGGAUUGGACACCCCUGCUCUACCCAACAGCAAAAUGCACAUUCUUCUUAAGUGCACAUGAAAUAUUCUUCAGGGUAGAAUACAUGUUAGGCCACAAAACAUGUUUUGAUAAACAUGGAAAUUUUUAAAUCAAGGUGUAUUAUUCAACUACAAUGGAAUAAAACUAAAAAGGGACAUAAAAAGAAAGCUAUAAAGUUUGCAUGUAUGUGACUAUUAAACGACACAUUCUUAAACAAUCAUUUGGCUAAGAAAAAAAAAAUCACAAGGGAAAUAAUCAAAUACUUAGAGAUGAAAGAAAACAAAAAUACAGCCUACCACAAAUAAGUUCACAAAUAUGUGACUAUUAAACAACACAUUUUUAAACAAUCAUUUUGUUAAGGAAAAAAAAUCACAAGGGAAAUUAUCAAAUACUUAGAGAUGAAAGAAAACAAAAAUACACCCUACCACAACUUUGGGAUGCAGUGGAAAUAGACUUCAGAAGGAAAUUUAUAGUCUACAUAUUUUUAAAAAUCUCAGAUUGCUUUUCACUUUGAUAAGAAGAUCAAGGUUCCUCGAUGUAAGUUUCAAUGUCCUUUCUUCUUUUGUAUUAAAAUUCCUCUCAGACCUUUUUUUAUUGUCAGAGAAAAAAAUGAUCUAAUACCAAUAGAAAAUCAGCUUGAGAAAUCUAGAGUAUUGGUUUUCAAAACCUUUGACUGAAAUCACAAGAAAUACAUUUUGGGCUGUGAUGUGGUAUAUCCAUAUAAACAGACACAGGCAUUCAGAAAACUGAGACAACAUAUCAUUCAGCAAUAGUCUAGCAAUGUAGGAAGUCAUGUGAUAUUUUCUAUUAAUUUCUAGUCAACUUCUUUAAACUAGAUAUUGUUCUUGACAUGUGAAAUGAACUUCAUAAUCAACAAACCUGCAGUUGGAAUACACUAAGCUUAACACUAUAUUAUCCUUGUAGCUCAGAAGUACCAUUUCCUGGUUAAAGGAAACAAAAAAGAAUAAAAUUGGUUCCAGAUCAAAGCAACCAAAAAAGAAUACAAUUAGUAUCCUAAUGUUAAGAAAAAAUUAUGCGAAAAUGAAAUAACAUGUCAUUUCAGUGUAACACUAGAGCAAUGCCUAACAGGCACACCUUGGGUUUAUUUAUUUCCCCUAUAGAAUGAUUUUUUGUUUGUCUUAGUAUUUAUUAUAGAUUAAGUCCAAUACCAUGUAAAGUUGAACACUAACUUGUAGUUUUGUUUUAUGUUUUUUGUUUGUUUGUUUGUUUGUUAACCUGUAAGUCUACCUGGGAAGAUUAAUAACAAUGAAUAGUAUGGUUUUGUUGUAACAUAUCAACAAAUUUUCUAUCUAACCUCAUAAUCUUAUUCUUGUAUUCCUUCUUUCAUGUGAUGUUUGUUUAGCCAUUCACAUUUGUCUUUUCAACCAGCUUUGUGAUGCUGCUGAUACUUUCUUCAAUAAGUUAAACAGAUCUUUAACACACAUUCAGAUCUUUAACACGACUCUCAUGUUCGUAUGAGAGUCGUCAUGCUGACUUUUGAAAAAUUGUACUUUUAAAUGUUUCAUGCAUUUCUUCAUAGAGUGUCCUUGGAUAACUCUUUAGAGUAAAAGCAAAAUUUACUGCUUAAAGAAGCCAAACAUAAAGGAAAUAUGUAUCUUAUUAAAGAGUAUCUAAAUAUGCUCUAUCAUUGUAUUUGUGAAAUUAUUCAUUUAUAUGACUUUCUGCUUCAUUAGACUUUUUUGUUUUUCAGUGAUAAUCACACUAAACACGGAUUCAUUUAUAAAGAUCUUUCAGUAUAAGAAAAACUAAUUUAUAUUUAUCACAUCAUUUUUGA